CGCACAUUGCGCCCCUUGGUAUUCCAUGGGGCAUGCCUGUUCGAGCGUCAUUUGAACCCUCAAGCUUUGCUUGGUGAUGGGUGUUUGUCCCCUUCUUUAGUAUUUGGACUCGCCUUAAAAUUAUUGGCAGCCGGCAUGUAGGCCUUUGGAGCGCAGCACAUUAUGCGAUCUAAGCCUAUAUUCUGGUAAUCCAUUAAGCACAUUUAUCACUUUUGACCUCGGAUCAGGUAGGGAUACCCGCUGAACUUAA
rnacentral:misc_RNA from 1 species